rnacentral:rRNA from 1 species
CCUACGGGCGGCAGCAGUGGGGAAUAUUGGACAAUGGGGGGAACCCUGAUCCAGCGACGCCGCGUGAGUGAAGAAGUAUUUCGGUAUGUAAAGCUCUAUCAGCAGGGAAGAAAAUGACGGUAUCUGACUAAUAAGCCCCGGCUAACUACGUGCCAGCAGCCGCGGUAAUACGUAGGGGGCAAGCGUUAUCCGGAUUUACUGGGUGUAAAGGGAGCGUAGGCGGGGAAGCAAGUCGGAGGUGAAAGGUCGGGGCCAAACCGCGGCGAGCCGUUGAAACUGGCUGUCUUGAGAUGUCGAGAGGUAUGCGGAAUGCGCAGUGUAGCGGUGAAAUGCUUAGAGAUUGCGCAGAACUCCGAUUGCGAAGGCGGCAUACCGGCGGAGAUCUGACGCUGAGGCACGAAAGCGUGGGUAUCGAACAGGAUUAGAUACCCUAGUAGUC